rnacentral:rRNA from 1 species
UUGGAGGGCAAGUCUGGUGCCAGCAGCCGCGGUAAUUCCAGCUCCAAUAGCGUAUAUUAAAGUUGCUGCAGUUAAAAAGCUCGUAGUUGAAUUUCGGGACCAUCAUGUCGGUCGUGCCUCGGUACGUACUGGCAUUGUUGGUUUCUCCCUUCUGACGAACCAUGAUGUCAUUAAUUUGGUGUCUUGGGGAAUCAGGACUGUUACUUUGAAAAAAUUAGAGUGUUUAAAGCAGGCUCACGCUUGAAUACAUUAGCAUGGAAUAAUGAAAUAGGACGUUUGAUUCUAUUUUGUUGGUUUCUAGGAUCGACGUAAUGAUUAAUAGGGAUAGUUGGGGGCAUUAGUAUUCAAUUGUCAGAGGUGAAAUUCUUGGAUUUAUUGAAGACUAACUACUGCGAAAGCAUUUGCCAAGGAUGUUUUCAUUAAUCAAGAACGAAAGUUAGGGGAUCGAAGACGAUCAGAUACCGUCGUAGUCUUAACCAUAAACUAUGCCGACUAGGGAUCGGAUGAUGUUAAUUUUUUAAUGACUCAUUCGGCGCCUUACGGGAAACA